rnacentral:rRNA from 1 species
UACGUAGGGUGCAAGCGUUGUCCGGAUUUAUUGGGCGUAAAGAGCUCGUAGGCGGCUUGUCGCGUCGCCUGUGAAAUCCCGCGGCUCAACCGCGGGUCUGCAGUCGAUACGGGCAGGCUAGAGUUCGGUAGGGGAGACUGGAAUUCCUGGUGUAGCGGUGAAAUGCGCAGAUAUCAGGAGGAACACCGAUGGCGAAGGCAGGUCUCUGGGCCGAUACUGACGCUGAGGAGCGAAAGCGUGGGGAGCGAACAGG